UUAAACUGAAUGUACGUUAGUUUCCUAAAGGAAACCGCGUUAUGUAAUAAAGACUACCAUGAUUAUUUUGAGGCUGUUGAAGUGGUAAUUGUUAAAAGUAUGUUUUACAUGUAAUAUUUCAGACUUGUUAAGCUCGUGUCUUCAUUGUCCCCGCACUGAGAGUUAAAGACACCUGCUCUUGUGAGGAGUCACGGACUGUGUGAGGAGGAGGCGUGUUCUCAGCUUCUUCUGAAGAGAGGGACAGACGGGUUUAAGAUGUUGAAAGCCAGAGACAUAGGAGAGCAUCAUUCUUUUGAGAUUUAUAACUCAAGCUAACUUUGGAGUUAAGGACACAGAAGCCUGCUUGUGUGAGGAGGAGGCGGUGUUCUCGGCUUCUGAAGAGAGGGAAAGAUAAUUUAAGCUGUUGAAAGCCAGAGACAUAGAACUCAAACCAACUUUGGAGUUGUCUGAUUUGGAGAGUCAUCAUUCUUGGUCUUCCCUCUUAAGGGAAUAGUUCACACAAAAAAUCAUUUAGUUGCCCUCAUGUCAUUCCAAACCUAUACGACUUUUGUCUGUCUUUAGAAUACAAAUGAAUAUAUUUAGAAUUUUCAGAGUUAUUGUAGAAGUAAUCCAUUCCGAUAUUUAUAUAUGAUUAAAUCUUAAAUUAUAUGAUAGCGAACAUGUCUGUUCAGAAGAAAAUAUUGGUCUCCCAGACUAGCAAUGGAGGACAAAAAUUAAUAGAAUAUUAAAUAUAUUUAUUUGUGUUCCAAAAAUUAGCAGAGUUUGUAUGGGUCUGGAACAACAUGGGGAGAGUAAAUUAUGACCAUUUUCAUUUUUUGGUGGACUAACCCUUUGAAGAGCAGCCCUCAACGUACAUGAACAUUUGUGAGGCCACUGAUGAAGAACAGGCGGUGACUGGGAUGAAUGCUGGUCAGAGAAGAGAAUGUCCUUUCCCCUAAACUGAUGAAGCAGUGGUUUUAAAGGAGGACGCUGCCCUGGGUGAUGUAGAAGAUGUCACAUGUGCUGAUGGGGGUUCCUCAUGACUACAUCAAUUAUGCUGAAGAGAUCAUGAAAGUUGACAGUGAUGCAUGAUCUGUAUUCAUGGACUGUGAAACAAACUGUAAGUGUAUAAUUUGUAAAAACAAAAUGUUAAGUGCUUGUUCUGUGUUGUUUAGUAAAAGAGUUUACACUCUGUCAUUCAUACACAUGCUCACAUUCUUUCACACACACGCGCGCAUCUGUUAAAUGUUAUAAUAUCAGUGUUAAUGUUGUGGUUUAUUUGUGUACUGUAAUGCUAGAAUAGUUGGUAAAGAACUUAACUAAUUGUACAUUUAUUGUAUAAUAGUGUGUUCGUAUAUUUUUAUACAAUAUAUAAAAUUUACCAAAGUCCAAUUUGAUCUUAAAAGUUAUAUUCAACAAAUGUUCAAUGCUUUAU
ensembl:lncRNA